GUGCUUGCUUUGGCAACACAUAUACUAAAAUUGGAACAAUACAGAGAAGAUUAGAUUGGUCCCUAAACAAGGAUGGCAUGCAAAUUUGUGAAGCAUAUCAUAUAUAU
ensembl:snRNA U6 U6 spliceosomal RNA